rfam:Conidiobolus coronatus NRRL 28638 unplaced genomic scaffold CONCOscaffold_10, whole genome shotgun sequence.
CUUCCCUGUCCUUUCCUCAUUAUGUUCGGAUAAAUCUUUCGCCUUUUACUAAAGAUUUCCGUGGCGGAGGGACAUUAAGGGGAAUAUUUUUAAUUUUUGCGACCAGAUUCAUCUGGAC